AGAGUUUGAUCCUGGCUCAGAACGAACGCUGGCGGCAGGCUUAACACAUGCAAGUCGAACGCGUGUAGCAAUACACGAGUGGCGCACGGGUGAGUAACGCGUGGAUAUCUGCCUUUUGGUUCGGAAUAACCCCGGGAAACUGGGGCUAAUACCGGAUGGUUCCUUCGGGAUAAAGAUUUAUCGCCAAAAGAUGAGUCCGCGUACGAUUAGCUAGUUGGUGAGGUAAUGGCUCACCAAGGCGACGAUCGUUAGCUGGUCUGAGAGGACGAUCAGCCACACUGGGACUGAGACACGGCCCAGACUCCUACGGGAGGCAGCAGUGGGGAAUAUUGGACAAUGGGGGCAACCCUGAUCCAGCCAUGCCGCGUGAGUGAUGAA
rnacentral:rRNA from 1 species